rnacentral:rRNA from 1 species
UCAAAUCAAGUAAGACUACCCGCUGAACUUAAGCAUAUCAGUAAGCGGAGGAAAAGAAACUAACUAGGAUUCCCUUAGUAACGGCGAGUGAACCGGGACCAGCUCAAAUUUGAAAUCUGGCAUCCAGGAGGGUGUNCGAGUUGUAUUUGAGAGGGUAUUCUUGUGUCAACCAGGAGGGUUCAAGUCCUUUGGAAAAAGGCAUCAUAGAGGGUGAAAAUCCCGUCUAGGCUCUCUCACGAUGGAAGACAGCUAUCAAGAAUUCCUUAAGAGUCGGAUUGUUUGGGAAUGCAAUCCUAAAUGGGUGAUACAUGUCAUCUAAAGCUAAAUGUCUGCAAGAGACCGAUAGCAAACAAGUACCGUAAGGGAAAGAUGAAAAGGACUUUGAAAAGAGAGUCAAAAGUACGUGAAAUUGUUAUAAGGGAAACGAUUAACACUACUUGUUGUGGACAAGAGUCUUCAGAAGGGACCUUCAUAUCCCUUUGUAGUGACUUCUUGACCUCGUUGACCCCCCUUAAGGGUCUUGCAAAAACGCCAAGGAAAGGUGGCUUUACCCUUUACGGGUGAACGCUUUAUAGUCCUUGGAGUGUGGCAAGGUCUUUGAGGGGUCGGUGUUUGCCGAGGAAGAGAUCAAGGUGUUUGAGUAUCUCAUGAGGAUGUUUAAGCACCUGAUCCCUCGGGUCAAUGCAGUGGUAUUAACCGACC